GCGGCGCAGGUGCAGGUGCAGGUGCAGGGACCUCGGGGCUCGGCCGCUUCCUGUGGCCCCGCGCACCCCCACCCCGCCGCAGUGCGCAGGUGCGAAGGUGCCCGCGGAGGUCCACGGGCUGGGGGCGGGGGGCUCCAGGCCUCGCCCUCGCCGCCGACCCGCAGGUGCCGGAGCGCAGCCGGGUCAGGCCCCAGGCGGGCCCUGCACCCCCCAGGAGGGCCCGGCUCAGCGGGCGGGGCUCCCCGAGAGGCCGCGGUUGCCUGCCGGGCUCCCGAGGGUCUUCCCCGCGGCGCAUCCCCUCCCGCGGCAGCUGAAAGGUGGACUGCUGUCUUCUGAGGACAUUGUGUAUGAUUUCUUUCCCCUCUUUUAAGUCUACAAAAAAAUAUACUUCAAGCAUAUUUUUGUAUAUCAAGUGAUAGUGUGCUAUCCUUGUGUUUUAGACGAGACCAAAAUAAUCAAAAUGGUAAAAAGAACUCAUCCAACAAAAUGAUCAUCCAAAAGUGUUAUAGGUCAACUUGCUGACACUAUGUUUUUCGAACAUUCUAGAAAA
rnacentral:lncRNA from 1 species